UUGGAGGGUUUGAUCCUGGCUCAGAGUGAACGCUGGCGGCGUGGAUUAGGCAUGCAAGUCGAGCGAUCCCUUUCAUUGAAAUGUGAUGAAGUCUUCGGACCGAUUCGCAUGGAUAUGUGCGGGAUAGCGGCAAACGGGUGAGUAAUACGUGGGUAAUGUACCGUAAGGAGAAGGAUAGCCUCGCGAAAGCGGGGGUAAUACUUCAUAUUGUCAUGUGCCUGGAAUGACACGUGAUGAAAGAUGGCCUCUACUUGUAAGCUAUCACCAUACGAGCAGCCCACGACCUAUCAGGUUGUUGGUAGGGUAAAGGCCUACCAAGCCAUUGACGGGUAGCUGGCCUGAGAGGGUGGUCAGCCACAUCGGGACUGAGACACUGCCCGGACUCCUACGGGAGGCUGCAGUCGAGAAUCUUUCCCAAUGAGCGAAAGCUUGAGGAUGCGACGCCGCGUGGGGGAUGAAGGGCUUCGGCCUGUAAACUCCUUUUAUCGGAGAGGAAGGCUUAUCUUUCAAAUAGGAAGAUGAGAUGACUGUAUCCGAUGAAUAAGUCACGGCUAACUCCGUGCCAGCAGCCGCGGUAAUACGGAGGUGGCAAGCGUUACUCGGUUUGACUGGGUGUAAAGGGUCCGCAGGCGGCCAAAUAAGUGAAAGGUGAAAUCCCACGGCUCAACCGUGGAACUGCCUCUCAAACUGUUUGGCUCGAGGCUGAAAGAGGAGAGCAGAACUGCCAGUGUAAGGGUGAAAUCUGUGGAUAUUGGCAGGAAUGCCCGUGGAGAAAUCGGCUCUCUGGUUCAGAUCUGACGCUCAGGGACGAAAGCUAGGGGAGCGAACAGGAUUAGAUACCCUGGUAGUCCUAGCUGUAAACGAUGGGCACUAGGUGUUCGCCUUAGGGUGAGUGCCGCAGGUAACCCGUUAAGUGCCCCACCUGGGAACUACGGCCGCAAGGCUAAAACUCAAAGGAAUUGACGGGGGCCCGCACAAGCGGUGGAACACGUGGUUUAAUUCGAUGCUACGCGAGGAACCUUACCAGGGCUUGACAUGCAGGAAGUAGUAUCCCGAAAGGGAGUCCGACCGGUAACCAAUCCGGAACCUGCACAGGUGCUGCAUGGCUGUCGUCAGCUCGUGCCGUGAGGUGUUCCCUUAAGUGGGAAAACGAGCGCAACCCUCACCCUUAGUUGCUAGUAUAUCUUCGGAUAUACGCACUCUAAGGGGACUGCCCGCGAUAAAGUGGGAGGAAGGUGGGGACGACGUCAAGUCCGCAUGGCCCUUAUGUCCUGGGCUACACACGUGUUACAAUGCCUGUUACAGAGGGUUGCCAAUCCGCGAGGUGGAGCUAAUCCCAGAAAAGCAGGCUCAGUUCGGAUCGAGGGCUGCAAUUCGCCCUCGUGAAGCUGGAAUCGCUAGUAAUGGCACAUCAGCUACGGUGCCGUGAAUACGUUCCCGGGCCUUGUACACACCGCCCGUCAAGCGCUGAAAGUGGGGGGCACCCGAAACCCCGAUUUCGGGAUCACGGUGAACUUCAUGAUUGGCGCUAAGUCGUAACAAGGUAGCCGUACGGGAACGUGCGGCUGGAUCACCUCCUUUCUA
rnacentral:rRNA from 1 species